CGAAUGUUGCCUUUUUGCAGACUUUAUUUCUAUGCUUAGUCAUUGCUGAAAUUGUCUAUCAAGAACCGAACUUUGAAGGCAUCUUUUGCUUGAUUGCAGCUGUGCAAAACCCAAGAUUCUUCCUUUGUUCGUUGCUUCUAAGGAUUUAGCUGUGAGCCCAUAAUUUUUUUUCCUCGGUUAAAGCAGGAGGAAGAGGCCUAAUGGAGACAGAAAAUGGAGAUGGCGAAUCCCGGUUGGAAGAAUAUGAAGUAAUGGAGCAGAUUGGCAGAGGAGCUUUUGGAGUAGCAUUACUUGUUUUGCAUAAAAUUGAGAAAAAGAAGAUAAUGUGGAGGCCAAGAUUCACACGAUCUUAUAAAUUGAUAGGCUACCUACCUCUGUGUGGAGGAAGAUUAGCUCGAGGUGCAGAUUGCAAGGAUAAGUACGGAGGGGGUCAAUUGAAAUGACCUCAAUUAUUAAGGGCCAGAGUAGAUUUAAUCUCUUUUUCUUUUUUUCUUUUUUUCUGUGAGUAAAAGUAAAAAGUGAAGAAGGUCAGAGAAGAAGUAAAGAUAUUUAUUAGUGCUUG